rnacentral:rRNA from 1 species
UACGCGAGUCAUUGGGAAUUAUUAAACCCAUUGGCGAAAUGAAUGUGAAGACCGCUUCGCGCGGCUUUUAGGGAGGAUGGGAAUCCGUACGGAGACCCCGCACUCCCGGGGCGUCUCGUUCUCAUUGCGAGUUGAGGCGCACCUAGAGCGUACACGCUGGUACCCGAAAGAUGGUGACCUAUGCCUGGUCAGGACGAAGUCAGGGGAAACCCUGAUGGAGGUCCGUAGCGAUUCUGACGUGCAAAUCGAUCGUCGGAGCUGGGUAUAGGGGCGAAAGACUCAUCGAACCAUCUAGUAGCUGGUUCCCUCCGAAGUUUCCCUCAGGAUAGCUGGCGCUCGUCAGGUACGAGUCUCAUCCGGUAAAGCGAAUGAUUAGAGGCAUUGGGGUCGAAACGGCCUCAACCUAUUCUCAAACUUUAAAUGGGUGAGAUCUCCGGCUUGCUUAAAUGUGAAGCCGCGAGAUUCGGAUCAGAGUGCCAAGUGGGCCACUUUUGGUAAGCAGAACUGGCGCUGUGGGAUGAACCAAACGCCGAGUUAAAGCGCCGAAAUCGACGCUUAUGGGAUACCAUGAAAGGCGUUG